rnacentral:lncRNA from 1 species
AUGGACAUUUUUUCAGAUAAGCAGAUAGCUUACAGAAGAAUUUCUCUUUAUUUUCAUUCAUAUGGGCCUGAAAUUAUAGAUUUUAGGCAAGCAAACAAGCCUCUCAAGUUUGAAGUCAACAGGAUUUUUGCCUGGCCAGCCUCCAUCUCACAGCAGAGAGAGAUUGCCUGGGACAUCAGUUUGUUUGCACAUCUUGGAGUUCAGCAGGUCUACCUGGCUAAGGCUACUGUGUGUUCAGCUUAGAUGGUCAGAGAGUAUGGGCUUAGAAAGGACUGUAGGGUCCACUCUAGCUAUCGCUGUAACCACAGUUUAAGGACUUUAGCAUUUGGCCCUAGGUAUCUUCAUUCAACACUGUCAUAAAACAAGACGUCCUUGAAUUUUAAAAUGCCUUACCUUUUUUGUGUGCCUGAGCAAAACUAAGAGCACGUAUUUUUCCACAUAAUUUUCUUCCUUGCUAUUUAUAACAUAGCUGCACUGAGUGACCUCAGUAACAGAAAAGACUGAAAAGUCUUCCCUUCUACAUUAAAUAUAUUUAUGCAUCUAAGAGUUAACUGUAACAGCCUAGGGGCAACUUUAUGCUCCCUAUUUCUAUUCUUCAGAUUCUGACCUUUUUGUGAAUAACAUCCAGUAAAGUUCUGUACACACCUGUAAUGGAAACACAGCCCUUUAUGGAGCUUACACUGUUUACACAGAACAUAAAACAGCAGGUGAAAGAGCAUUUAUAUUUGAAAGAUUUCUUCAUGGUCUAAUAACCAGGUAGUUUCAGACUGUUAGCCCAUGAACUGUGCGGCCAGCAAAGAACCCCACUUGUCUUUUUUCCAGGAGUGAAGAUCCUACACAGCUUUAGGGAAAAAACAAAAUAAGAACAUGAUGAAAAUUUUAUUUUGUUGCCAUGUGAUCAGGGAUAGAAUAUCAGUGAACUUUUUUUUUUCCCAACUCUUGGGAAAAUUUUUUGCUUAUGCAGUGAUGAGCUAAUGGGGAGACUGUGUAGAAAAGAGAUUGACAAGGGAGUCCGGGUGCAGAAGCACAAGGACUGGAGAAGGGCAAAAGGACUGAGAUUGCCGUGAAGUGAUAGUGAGGGAAGAGGCAGUAGGAAAAAUGAACAAAACAGCUUGUUAGCACAAGGGAGCUU